UGGCCGUUGGUGCAGUAGUGAGCGUUGUUGCCUCUCACCCCAGUUGGCCUAGGUUCGAUCCCAGAUGGUCAC
rnacentral:tRNA from 1 species